GGUGCUUCGGAAGAGAUGAUGGUCUAAGUCCCUUGGAACAGGGCGUCACAGAGGGUGAGAAUCCCGUACGUGACUAAUUAUCGAUUCCAUGUGAAGCCCUUUCGACGAGUCGAGUUGUUUGGGAAUGCAGCUCUAAAUGGGUGGUAAAUUUCAUCUAAAGCUAAAUACCUGCCAGAGACCGAUAGCGCACAAGUAGAGUGAUCGAAAGAUGAAAAGCACUUUGAAAAGAGAGUCAAACAGUACGUGAAAUUGUUGAAAGGGAAGCGUUCGCAAUCAGACUCGUUUGCAGAAGCUCAGCCUUCCUACGGGAUGGUGUAUUCUUCUGUCAACGGGCCAGCAUCAGUUUCGGCGGUUGGAUAAAGACUCUGGGAACGUAGCUCUUCUCGGAGAGUGUUAUAGCCCGGAGUGUAAUGCAGCCAGCUGAGACUGAGGUCCGCGCUUUUGCUAGGAUGCUGGCGUAAUGGUUGCUAGCGACCCGUCUUGAAACACGGACCAAGGAGUCGACCAAUGACGCGAGUGUUUGAGUGUCAAACUCAUGCGCGUAAUGAAAGUGAACGUAGGUGGGAGCUUUCGGGCGCACCAUCGACCGAUCUUGAUGUUUUCGGAUGGAUUUGAGUAUGAGCAUUAUUGGUCGGACCCGAAAGGUAAAGUCCUCCCCACAAUGUGCUCUUGUUGAAUUGUGUACUAACGUGAUUCUUCUAGAUGGUGAACUAUGCGCGGAUAGGGUGAAGCCAGAGGAAACUCUGGUGGAGGCUCGCAGCGGUUCUGACGUGCAAAUCGAUCGUCAAAUCUACGCAUAGGGGCGAAAGACUAAUCGAACCGUCUAGUAGCUGGUUCCUGCCGAAGUUUCCCUCAGGAUAGCAGCAACGAAUAUAGCAGUCUCAUGAGGUAGAGCAACGAUUAGAGGCCUUGGGGGCGAAAUGCCCUUAA
rnacentral:rRNA from 1 species